UCAUCAAAUUGGCAGUGAUCUG
rnacentral:miRNA from 1 species